rnacentral:tRNA from 1 species
GGCGGGGUAGCUCAGUGGUAGAGCAGGGGACUCAUAAGCCCCGUGUCGGGAGUCCGAUUCUCCCCCCCGCUACCA